GAUUACUUAAUGGGCUGGCGCCUUGCCAUAUGGGAACCAGGGGCCGCGCCCGUCACCUCACCGCCCAGGAUGAAGCUGCCCAACGGCACGACUGAAGGCCGCUGAGGAAGAGUUGAAGGCGCGGAAGGUGCCCACGCCCAGGGAGUAGGCGAACAGCAGCCGCCGCUC